GAUGAACGCUGGCGGCGUGCCUAAUACAUGCAAGUCGAGCGAACAGACCAGGACCUUUCUCCUCUGACGUUAUCGGCGGACGGGUGAUGAACACGUGGAUAAACUACCUAUAAGACUGGGAUAACAUCGGGAAACCGGAGCUAAGACCCGAUAAUAUAUUGAACCUCAUUGGUCCAUAGUUAAAGAAGCUUUUUCUUUGACUUAUAGAUUAAUCCGCGCAGCAUUAGCUAGUUGGUAAGGUGAAGGCUUAGCAAGGCAACGAUGCGUAGCCGACCUGAGAGGGUGAUCGGCCAGACUGGCAGUGAGACACGGUACAGACUCCUACGGGAGGCAGCAGUAGAGAAUCUUCCGCGAUGGGGGAGAGCUUGACGGAGCAAAGCCGCGUGAGGGAUGAAGGUCUUCGGACCGUAAAGCUCUGUUAUUAGGGAAGAACAAAUGUGUAAUUAACUAUGCACAUCUUGACGGUACCUAAUCAGAAAGCCCCGGCUAACUCCGUG
rnacentral:rRNA from 1 species